UGAAAUGUUAAUAAGUUUAGAAAUAAAAAACAAAAAAAUCAUGAAUGAAGAUUGUAUGAUUUUUAUUGGAAUCCACAUAAAUAUGAAACUAAAAUAUAAAAAAAUUCUUUUAAGGCAAACUGCUGGACAAAAUCCCACAAAAACCUGAAAAUAUAAACAAUAUUCGUUGGUUUAUAGGAUGAAGAAAAGAAAUUGAAUGAAAUUGAAAAAUUAAAGGAAAUACUUAAUUAUUGCAAAAAUCUUGGUAUAAAAGAUCCUGUUUAAGAGUUGUCUUUCUUUAUUUUACAUGGUCUCAAAUAUUUUGGGAUCAAUUUUUUAAUUGAUAAAAAUCACGAAGAAAAAUUAAAAAAGGAACAAGUCUAUGCUAAAUAUGUAGAUAUAAGAUUAGUAGUGCUUAUGAUAAUGUUUGAAGCUGAAAAAUUAUAUUUUUGAUGAAUGCAUUAUAUAUAUUUAACUCUUUAAAACAAAAUAUUAGUAG
rnacentral:sRNA from 1 species